rnacentral:rRNA from 1 species
CUACGUAGGGUGCAAGCGUUAAUCGGAAUUACUGGGCGUAAAGCGUGCGCAGGCGGUUUUGUAAGACAGAGGUGAAAUCCCCGGGCUCAACCUGGGAACUGCCUUUGUGACUGCAAGGCUAGAGUACGGCAGCGGGGGAUGGAAUUCCGCGUGUAGCGGUGACAUGCGUAGAUAUGCGGAGGAACACCGAUGGCGAAGGCAAUCCCCUGGGCCUGUACUGACGCUCAUGCACGAAAGCGUGGGGAGCAAACAGGAUUAGAUACCCUGGUAGUCCACGCCCUAAACGAUGUCAACUGGUUGUUGGGUCUUCAUUGACUCAGUAACGAAGCUAACGCGUGAAGUUGACCGCCUGGGGAGUACGGCCGCAAGGUUGAAACUCAAAUGAAUUGACGGGG